GUGGGGUAUAAGAGGUGGGGUAUAAGAGGUGGGGUAUAAGAGGUGGGGUAUAAGAGGUGGGAUAUAAGAGGUGGGGUAUAAGAGGUGGGGUAUAAGAGGUGAGGUAUAAGAGGUGAGGUAUGAGAGGUGAGGUAUAAGAGGUGAGGUAUAAGAGGUGAGGUAUAAGUGGUGAGGUAUAAGAGGUGAGGUAUAAGAGGUGAGGUAUAAGAGGUGAGGUAUAAGAGGUGGGGUAUAAGAGGUGGGGUAUAAGAGGUGAGGUAUAAGAGGUGAGGUAUAAGAGGUGAGGUAUAAGAGGUGAGGUAUAAGAGGUGAGGUAUAAGAGGUGAGGUAUAAGAGGUG